UCCGAAUUGGUGUAGGGGUUAACAUUUGACGCUCUCAUCUCUACGCUUCCCAAACGAAGCGCCCGAAAUGUGCCGUCAAGCCCGGGGUUCGAUUCCCCGAUUCGGAG